AAAGAUUUCAGUUUUCCCACAGACGGACUCUGAGUCCGCAUCAGUGAGGAGGAUUCUGAUCCGCAUCGGCACAAUACACAACGAAAACAACACAACUGCUGGCACUAAAUCACAGUUAGGACGUACUCGGAGCUCAUCCAGCAGCUUCCUGAUUGGACGAGAGCGAGCGAGCCUGCAGACCAAACCGCCGCCUGUCAGUCAACAGCCAGGGCAGCAGGAUACCUCGUGUGACUCAAAGUCAAAAUAGAAUUAAAGUAAUAAAAACACUCACAGUAAAACAAGCUCUAAAACAAACUUCUCAAGUUCAUUAUGACAAGUCAAAAGUCAAUGUUUUACAAUCGACAGCAGACUGUUGACACAGAACACCACAGUUUAUUAUCUAAUCGUUUUCCCUCAGCUCACGAGGACGAGCAGAUGAAAGCCGUUCAGUCUUUGAGAGGAUUUUUCUUUAUUUACAGGCUGUUCAAACAGUCAGGUAACAUCUGAAUGGUGAUUAUGGACAAAGAGAACAUGAACGUCUCAGGACUGAAAGCUGAGCGGAUAUGAACGUGAGGAGGUAUUUUCUGCAUGUCACCACUGAGCCGCAGCUCGUCAUGCGAACAAGAUGCACGACAGUCCGAGUUUAAUGGAAAACCAACAUCGACUGAUUACCAAUCAGCUUUCCAGUCCAAUAAAUAAACAUCAAAUGUCAAUCAGCAUGUUUCAAAUGAAUCCCUUAAUAUUUUCACUUUAAAAUGCUCAUUAAUAAUGCAGUGGAGAUCAGAAAACACAG